rnacentral:misc_RNA from 1 species
CUCGUAUGCCAAAGAAAUACGUUUUUAAAGGCAUCUUUAGGAAAUAUUAUUGUAUAUGCUAUGGAUUUCAUCGCCGGGAAAAUUAUACGAGAUCUUCCCUGAUAUUUUUGAGCAGCGGAUACUCUCCAAAAUGAUGGCAACAACAUGGCGGAAGCAAAGCCUUAUAAUAGGACUUUGUGUUUUUUCAAUCAUAACCACUUUAGUGAACAAGCACGUUUUAUCAGACCUGAGGUUUACUUAUCCAACAGUUUUUCAAAGCUGGCAGACUGGAACUGUUGCCAUGGUGCUACUUUCUUUGAAUGCUCUGGGAUACAUUGAAAUCACCUUUUUACCUGUCACAAGCGCCACUCUUGCAUCAUGGCUGCCUGCUUCAGUGCUGUAUAGUGGAAUAAUUUAUUCAGGAUCAGUUUCUCUGUCAAGACUGCCAGUUCCAGUUUUCUGUGCCAUGUGUUACUUACAGACAUUGUUGGUGGCAUUAUUAGAAUCAUUCAUAUUUAAAAAGGAGCCAUCAACAAAUUCACAAUUCAGUUUGAUAUUUACAGCUAUUGCAACAGUAUCUGUUGCAGGAACUGAUGUGCAGUUUGAUCAGAUGGGAUACAAAUGGCUUAUGAUUCAUUCUGGACUUUCAGCCAUUUAUGUAUAUUAUGGAAAAUCCCAAAAUAAGAAUUCAUUAAAUGACUUGGAUAAAUUAUUCUACAAUGCUGUUGUGAGUGUAAUUGUUUUGAUGGGAAUCAGUGUUUUAACAGGUGAACUUUACAAAAUAAUUGAGUUUCCUUUCCUAUAUUCCACACACUUUCACCUUGGGUGCAUGGGAAGUGGUAUAUUUGGAGCAGCACUUGGGCUGAUAAGAGUGUCUCUGUUAGAUACAGAAGUUUCCUAUUCAUUGGGAAUAAUUGAUAGCCUUAAUAAGGCAAACUCAGAAAUCAUGGCUUUCUACGCACGGACCAAUCCUUAAAACCUAGACCUUGUAGACCUUUUCUUCUGCCGAGCCAUUCGCUCACGAAGGUGAAUUUAUACCUUUAAUCACCUACUUAUUUAAAGAUAAAACACUUGUAUCCCGCUGGGAAGACUUAACACUUCCGGUUCAAAUUCUCCACCCCAGCCGGGCAAGGUUUAAAUUCCCACCCCACGGGUAAAGACAAUAGUCAAAUGCCCGUAGAUCGCCCGGGGGGUGGAUGUUGAACCUUCAGAAUUGAUCGGUGCACGAUUGUUUCGUUGAAACAAUUGAUCGAUGAUAGUUAGGACUUGGAUAACUCUACUACUCCACAGGUUGCCAUAUCGUUUCUGUCACUGUUUAUUUUCGAUGUCACCCUUGACAGUAACAUGGCUGUGAGCAUCAUCGCAGUCCUUUGUAGUGGAGUACUUUAUUCGUACACAGUCACUGUUCAGGAAGAAGCCGAACAACGCACUGCUCAUCCA